rnacentral:rRNA from 1 species
GACGAACCGUGCGAACGUUAUUCGGAAUCACUGGGCUUAAAGGGCGCGUAGGCGGGUCGGUAAGUCAGGGGUGAAAUCCCACGGCCCAACCGUGGAAGUGCCUCUGAUACUGCCGGCCUCGAGGGGGAUAGGGGCGUGCGGAACUCAGGGUGGAGCGGUGAAAUGCGUAGAUAUCCUGAGGAACACCGGUGGCGAAAGCGGCGCGCUGGAUCCCUUCUGACGCUGAGACGCGAAAGCGUGGGGAGCAAACAGG